rnacentral:rRNA from 1 species
UACGGAGGGUGCAAGCGUUAUCCGGAUUCACUGGGUUUAAAGGGUGCGUAGGUGGGGCGGUAAGUCAGUGGUGAAAUCUCCGAGCUUAACUUGGAAACUGCCAUUGAUACUAUCACUCUUGAAUAUUGUGGAGGUCAGCGGAAUAUGUCAUGUAGCGGUGAAAUGCUUAGAUAUGACAUAGAACACCAAUUGCGAAGGCAGCUGGCUACGCAUAUAUUGACACUGAGGCACGAAAGCGUGGGGAUCAAACAGG